UCAUCGUCACUAAUCUUCGCGUCAGAGUUUGUUCAUGUCGUUCCCGUUUCGAUUCUUCACCUCCCAACGGUUACAAGUCUCAUUGAUUCAACAUAAUUAACCAAAACUUAGCUCUUCCUGGCCACUACAACCAAGAUCUCGCUUUCAAAGACUUUUAUCUAGCUUCAAGGCGGUGACUCUCACCUAUAAAAACGAGGCUGGAAGUUGUUCUUCUUACACGGUGGAGGUUCGGCUGCUCAGAUUCUGGAAAGCAAGAAUGUGAUCAUGUUUGAUUUUUUCGUGGUUGAAUCUAAACGUGAUCGUGUUUGACUUAGUAAUUCACUAUGAGACUUACCAGAAAUCUCUUGCGGAGCACCAAAACCCAGAUACGUUGAAGAGGCUGAAUGCGGCUGAUAGAGCCAAGAAGAUUUGCUGCAUCAAUAGUAUUUUGAUCCCACUAUUGGUGAGGCAAAGCGUCAAAAAGGUAAUCUGGUUUUGCAGUUCUAUCUUGGUAAAGCGAGUUAUACUAACAUCAUUUUGUGUUUGUAAUACAGGUAAUAAGUUAUUCAAGGAGCAGGAGUAUCAUGAUGCUGUGAGACAUCACACUGAAGCUAUACAAAGAAAUCCAAAAGAACCAACAGUAAGUCCAAUUCUAAUCAUCUUAUAUGUACUUAACUGUUGUGUAUAAAGGCUUCACUGUUACGUCUUCAUUUCGGUUUAGAGCGAACCAGUGAGCUAAGAUUUUUUUUUUUUCUUUUCUUCCAGACUAGGCCUAGGGGAAUGCAAGACCAGGGAAUCAAGAACAUUCUCACAGAUCUGUAAUGAGACAGGUAAUGAGACAAACUUUGAUCUCUAGAUGUCUUCUCCAUUUACAAAUCAAUGUUUGGUUAUUUGUUGCAGCAAUCCGUCUUGAUGUUAAUGAUAUCUCACCAAAAUCCAAACUCUUUUAACAGAUUCUGUAUGAUUUCAGGAGAAUUCACCAGCAGCACAACAUGCACACCCGAUGAUCAUGAUCAAAUCCAAAAGCAUAUAAAGCUAAACCCAGAUUUUUUACUUUUUGUAGCUCUCAAACCAAAAUCAAGUUCCACCCAUUGUUUCAGGAUAAUCUGAUGUAACAUUUUCUUAUAUCAAAUGUGUCUUUAUAAGACAGAGACUUGAAUUGCUUACAUAACUGCAAAGCCCAAAACAAACUCACAAAAAUUCUUCAGUACGUAGGGUUAGUUCUGAACAAGAAAAACAAAAUGUUAAGCAGCAACUUCUUCAUCCUUGGAUGAAAGUUCAGAGGAUGAUGCAAGCUCUUGGUGUUUUGUUGAAUGUUCAGUUUAGGACUUACGCAGGAUGAAGAUGAGGCUCAGGAGGAUGAGAUACCUACACGAGUAAUAUAAUUCAACAAUUAUUGAAAGAACAAGAACAAGAGAAAACUAAAAACAUGAAAAAAAAAAAACAUCAAUACCCAAGCCGGAUAGUUCUUUUUUUCACAAAGAAGCCGGAUAGCUCUUGACGCCUGACAUCUCAAUAUCACUCAAAAGGAUGACCAAAUUGAUUGAGAAAAUAAAAAAAGUAAUAACAAACAAACAAAAAUUGAUUACAAAAGAAAGUAUAUCUCUAAUGUAGUCUUAUACACAACAAAAACAUAUACACAAUAAAAACAUACAAAUAAAUACAACACGUAUCUAAUUAUUCGAUGCUAUUAAUCUCCAACCACCAUCACUACCAUCAAAUAGUCAUAUAAUCAUUAACCAUUAUUGCUAUACAUAAAUUACUAGCUUAACUAGAGAUUUUGCCCGGGCUACGCCCGGGGCUAUAUACAAAUAACAUAUAUUUUAUAUGUAUAUUACAAUAUAUUACAUCUAUGUUAUAAAAUAUAAAUAAUAAAUUGAACUAAAAUGAGUAAAACUCACAAUUUGUUAUCUUCUACUAUCUAAAAUAUGUAUGGGAUAGUGAACAAUGUGAAAUUAUUAAAUAAUUUUUUAAACCUAAGUUAUUCUCAAAAAUAUUUUUACAUAUUUAGUUAUUUAUAAAAUAUUUUAUUAAUCUCAACAUCACAUUUUUUUUUGUUAUAUGUGUUAUUUAUAUAAUUUGUAUGUUUUUAUAUGUCUCUUAUAAUAUUAUAAGUUGGAUGAUGACUUUCUGUUAUCCUUGGCUUUUGAAAAUGAUAGUUUGCUGAUUUCUUCAUGAUCAGUGUUUGGUUGACGACAGAGAUUUAGCCUGGAAAUACAAACCCAAAAAUCAACUCGACAGGUUCAAUCAUCAGUCGAUUCAAAAUAAAUAGAAACACCCCAAAAAAUCAAAUAUCAGAUCCAAUCAAUCUUUAAACUACAACUUAAUUUGGUUUUGACCAAAAAAAUCCAAUAUCCAUAUUUUCACUCUAUUAUUGUGAUAUAUAUAUAUAUAUAACCAUAUUAUUGUAUAUUUUCACUGUAUGUGUGUUUAUGAUGAUUUGUAAGAGGUGUAUAUAACAACUUUGAUGGUUUUAAAGUAUGUUUGGGCGUGAAUGGUUUAUAAAUGUUAAGAUUGUUUAAUACCUUAUUCACAUAUAAAAAUAAAAUUGAGUUUUUAGUCAUACCCGAAACUUUUGUUUUGAAAAAAAUACAUAAAAACAAUUUAGUUUUUUUAUCAAAUUUAAAAUAAAUUGGAAACAAUCAAACAAAUGAAAGAAAUUUAAAUAAAA